AGAGGGUGCGAGCGUUAAUCGGAAUUACUGGGCGUAAGGCGCACGUAGGUGGAUAUUUAAGUCGGAUGUGAAAGCCCUGGGCUUAACCUAGGAAUUGCAUCCGAUACUGGAUAUCUAGAGUAUGGCAGAGGGAAGUGGAAUUACCGGUGUAGCGGUGAAAUGCGUAGAUAUCGGAAGGAACACCAGUGGCGAAGGCGGCUUCCUGGACCAAUACUGACACUGAGGUGCGAAAGCGUGGGGGAGCAAACAGGAUUAGAUACCCUGGUAGUCCACGCUGUAAACGAUGAGAACUAGAUGUUAGGGGGAAUUUGCCCCUUAGUAUCGAAGCUAACGCGUUAAGUUCUCCGCCUGGGGAGUACGGCCGCAAGGUUA
rnacentral:rRNA from 1 species